rnacentral:tRNA from 1 species
GAGAGAAGCCCGACUGGCGGUUAGACCUGCUAAGCCUAAACCUCCAAGGUUUGACCCCUUGGUUCGCUCA